rnacentral:hammerhead_ribozyme from 1 species
AUCUAACUGAAUAGUUCAAAAUAGGACGAAACACGCAUCGUGGAU